rnacentral:rRNA from 1 species
AGCGAACGCUGGCGGCAGGCUUAACACAUGCAAGUCGAACGCCCGUAGCAAUACGGGAGUGGCAGACGGGUGAGUAACGCGUGGGAACAUGCCCUUUGGUUCGGAAUAACUCAGGGAAACUUGAGCUAAUACCGGAUAAGCCCGAGAGGGGAAAGAUUUAUCGCCGAAGGAUUGGCCCGCGUCCGAUUAGCUAGUUGGUGAGGUAAUGGCUCACCAAGGCGACGAUCGGUAGCUGGUCUGAGAGGAUGAUCAGCCACACUGGGACUGAGACACGGCCCAGACUCCUACGGGAGGCAGCAGUGGGGAAUAUUGGACAAUGGGGGCAACCCUGAUCCAGCCAUGCCGCGUGAGUGAUGAAGGCCCUAGGGUUGUAAAGCUCUUUCGGCGGGGACGAUAAUGACGGUACCCGCAGAAGAAGCCCCGGCUAACUUCGUGCCAGCCGCCGCCGUAA